UGAAGCUGCAAAUAGUUUAAUACUUCAAGAAGCUAUUUGUCUCUUCCGUGAAUUAGUGGCUAUAAUUAGAAGAAGGUACGGCGAAGAGCCCAGAGACGUGCCACAAGAUCCCGCCGUGUAGAUAUACCACGUUGAAGCUCAAUGUUGUGUUGCCCAGCUGGUUCAUGAAGAGCUUCCACUGGUGGUUGUUGUGCAACUUCCCUUGCUUGCUCUUCUUCUGUCAACCUUACUUCAGGCAAGUUGUUUUCAUUACAAAUAUUGUGCAAUAUUACACAAGCAUUUGUAAUGAAGCCAGCAACCUGUGGUUGAUAAUGCAACACCCUGUGGCACAAGAGACACCGGAAACGUGCUUUGAGAAGACCUAUAGUUCUUUCUAUCACAUUCCUAGCCUUUACA